rnacentral:rRNA from 1 species
ACUCCUACGGGAGGCAGCAGUAGGGAAUCUUCCACAAUGGACGAAAGUCUGAUGGAGCAACGCCGCGUGAGUGAAGAAGGGUUUCGGCUCGUAAAACUUUGUUGUUAAAGAAGAACAUAUCUGAGAGUAACUGUUCAGGUAUUGACGGUAUUUAACCAGAAAGCCACGGCUAACUACGUGCCAGCAGCCGCGGUAAUACGUAGGUGGCAAGCGUUGUCCGGAUUUAUUGGGGCGUAAAGCGAGCGCAGGCGGUUUUUAAGUCUGAUGUGAAAGCCUUCGGCUCAACCGAAGAAGUGCAUCGGAAACUGGGGAAACUUGAGUGCAGAAGAGGACAGUGGAACUCCAUGUGUAGCGGUGAAAUGCGUAGAUAUAUGGAAGAACACCAGUGGCGAAGGCGGCUGUCUGGUCUGUAACUGACGCUGAGGCUCGAAAGUAUGGGUAGCAAACAGGAUUAGAUACCCUGGUAGGAUAGCG